rnacentral:sRNA from 1 species
UUCCGUAGGUGAACCUGCGGAAGGAUCAUUACAGUAUUCUUUUUGCCAGCGCUUAAUUGCGCGGCGAAAAAACCUUACACACAGUGUUUUUUGUUAUUACAAGAACUUUUGCUUUGGUCUGGACUAGAAAUAGUUUGGGCCAGAGGUUUACUGAACUAAACUUCAAUAUUUAUAUUGAAUUGUUAUUUAUUUAAUUGUCAAUUUGUUGAUUAAAUUCAAAAAAUCUUCAAAACUUUCAACAACGGAUCUCUUGGUUCUCGCAUCGAUGAAGAACGCAGCGAAAUGCGAUAAGUAAUAUGAAUUGCAGAUUUUCGUGAAUCAUCGAAUCUUUGAACGCACAUUGCGCCCUCUGGUAUUCCAGAGGGCAUGCCUGUUUGAGCGUCAUUUCUCUCUCAAACCUUCGGGUUUGGUAUUGAGUGAUACUCUUAGUUGAACUAGGCGUUUGCUUGAAAUGUAUUGGCAUGAGUGGUACUGGAUAGUGCUAUAUGACUUUCAAUGUAUUAGGUUUAUCCAACUCGUUGAAUAGUUUAAUGGUAUAUUUCUCGGUAUUCUAGGCUCGGCCUUACAAUAUAACAAACAAGUUGACCUCAAAU